rnacentral:rRNA from 1 species
AUGCAUGCUAUACUCGAGGCAGAGUACACCAGGGAGGAAGUGAAAGCUGCGUUGGAUCACAUAGGUGAUCUUAAGGCCCCGGGACCGGACGGCAUGUCGUCUAUUGUGUUUAAGCGCCACUGGCAUUUUAUGGGGGACAAAAUUGUGGAAGAGGUACUCGCAGUACUCAAUGGAGGUGAGAUGCCGGAGGGAUGGAAUGACACGUUGGUGGUGUUGAUCCCUAAAGUGAAAAAUCCGAAGAGAAUCAAGGACCUGAGGCCAAUCAGUUUUUGCAAUGUCGUCUACAAGCUUGUCUCCAAGGUAAUAGCGAAUAGACUAAAAGUGGUGCUACCUGAUAUCAUCUCCGACAACCAGAGUGCAUUUGUGCCAGGUAGGCUUAUUACGGAUAAUGUACUCAUAGCAUAUGAGAUAUCCCACUAUUUGAUGAACAAGAGAAACGGCAAGAGUGGGGUUGCUGCAAUCAAGGCGGACAUGAGUAAAGCCUACGAUAGAGUCGAGUGGUGUUUUUUGGAAGCCAUGCUUUGCAAGCUGGGAUUCAGCAGAACAUGGACUGACCUCGUCAUGAAAUGUGUGAGAACAGUACGGUAUUAG